rnacentral:rRNA from 1 species
AAGGGCACCACAAGAACGCGUGGAGCAUGUGGCUUAAUUUGACUCAACGCGGGAAAUCUUACCGGGUCCGGACACACUAAGGAUUGACAGGUAAAAGAAGCACACUCUCUUUACUUCUUCUCUUUUUUAGAGUUGUUUGUAUUGAGUUUGGCUCUGUAAAUAUGCUAGUCCUUUCAUGAUUGUGUGAUAGGUGGUGCAUGGCCGUUCUUAGUUCGUGGAAUAAUCUGUCUGCUUAAUUGCGUUAAUAUAUGGUGUUGAUCUCUGAUAACCCUCAAUUCUUGGUGUUUCACAGUUAAUUCUGUGCACCUUGGUUGGGGCUGGAGAUUAGACACUCUAUGAAACGAACGUGACCC